AUUUUUGAUAAGACGCUGAAUAAAAGAAGUUUAAUCGCCGGCAAAAGAAAACCCACAAUUUCCCGUAAAUCCGGUACUCGACCUGUAUAGUCAAAAGUAUACAAAGAAAGUACUCAAGGAGUAAACUCAUUUCCCUAACGAUUUUUUAAAUUAUUUUUUCACCACUUAAACGCAUGAGACUUGUAGUUUUCAAAAAUGUUUUCAUUUUUGAUGAGACGCUAAAUAAAAGAAGUUUAAUCCCCGGCAAACGAAAACCCGCGAUUUCCCGUAAAUCCCGUACUCGGCCAAUAUAGUCAAAAGUAUACAAAGAAAGUACCCAGGGAGUAAAUUUAUUUCUCAAACGAUUUUUUAAAUUAUUUUUUCACCACUAAAACGCAUGAGACUUGUAGUUUUCAAAAAUGUUUUCAUUUUUGAUGAAACGCUAAAGUAAAGAAGUUUAAUCGCCGGCAAACGAAAACCCGCGAUAUCCUGUAAAUCGCGGACUCGGCCCGUAUAGUCAAAAGUAUACAAAGAAAGUACCCAGGGAGUAAAUUCAUUUCCCGAACGAUUUUUUAAAUUAUUUUUUCACCACUAAAACGCAUGAGACUUGUAGUUUUCAAAAAUGUUUUCAUUUUUGAUAAGACGCUGAAUAAAAGAAGUUUAAUCGCCGGCAAACGAAAACCCACGAUUUCCCGUAAAUCCGGUACUCGGCCCGUAUAGUCAAAAUUAUACAAAAAAAGUACUCAAGGAGUAAACUCAUUUCCCUAACGAUUUUUUAAAUUAUUUUUUCACCACUUAAACGCAUGAGACUUGUAGUUUUCAAAAAUGUUUUCAUUUGUGAUGAGACGCUAAAUAAAAGAAGUUUAAUCCCCGGCAAACGAAAACCCGCGAUUUCCCGUAAAUCCCGUACUCGCCCCAUAUAGUCAAAAGUAUACAAAGAAUGUACCCAGGGAGUAAAUUUAUUUCUCAAACGAUUUUUUAAAUUAUUUUUUCACCACUAAAACGCAUGAGACUUGUAGUUUUCAAAAAUGUUUUCAUUUUUGAUGAAACGCUAAAGUAAAGAAGUUUAAUCGCCGGCAAACGAAAACCCGCGAUAUCCUGUAAAUCGCGGACUCGGCCCGUAUAGUCAAAAGUAUACAAAGAAAGUACCCUGUGAGUAAAUUUAUUUCCCGAACGAUUUUUUAAAUUAUUUUUUCACCACUAAAACGCAUGAGAUUUGUAGUUUUUAAAAAUAUUCUCAUUUUUGAUGAGACGCUGAAUAAAAUAAGUUUAAUCUCCGGCAAACGAAAACCCGCGAUUUCCCGUAAAACCCGUACUCGGCCCGUAUAGUCAAAAGUAUACAAAAAAGUACCCAGGGAGUAAGCUGAUUUCCCGAAUGAUUUUUUAAAUUAUUUUUUCACCACUGAAACGCAAGAGACUUGUAGUUUUUAAAAAUGUUUUCAUUUUUGAUGAGACGCUGAAUAAAAGUAGUUUAAUCGCCGGCAAACGAAAACCCGCGAUUUCCUGUAAAUCCCGGGCUUGGCCCCAUAUAGUCGAAAGUAUACAAAGAAAGUACCCUGUGAGUAAACUGAUUUUCAGAACGAUUUUUUAAAUCAUUUUUUCACCACUAAAACGCAUGAGACAUGUAGUUUUCAAAAUUGUUUUCAUUUUUGAUAAGACGCUGAAUAAAACAAGUUUAAUCGCCGGCAAACGAAAACCUGCGAUUUCCCGUAAAUCCCGGACUCGACCCGUAUAGUCAAAAGUAUACAAAGAAAGUACCCAGGGAGUAAAUUCAUUUCCCGAACGAUUUUUUAAAUUAUUUUUUCACCACUAAAACGCAUGAGACUUGUAGUUUUCAAAAAUGUUUUCAUUUUUUGCGAAGCAAUUGAGCUUUGCGAGCGAAGCGAGCGAAGCGAAAUUGUGGAGCACGUUUGCUACACGCGAGGUAUACCAAGAGAAUUAUUGAGAUUCUCAAAAUUUCGAUAGAAAAAAAAUCAUAUAAAAUCAGCGUAAAGAAAUAGGACUGAUAUUUUUGCACAUAAAGCUAGGGUAUUUUUUUUUCUAAUAAAACAAAUAAGUUUGGACCGAGGGGUUAAAGUAUAAGUUUAGUAAAAAAUGCAAUAAGUACGGCUCGUACCCCCCCACCCCCGGAUUUUGACCCCCCCCCCCGUCUUUUGGUCCGGAUUAUACGUCCGCCGAACUUGAACACACAAAGAGGAAUAUGCCGUAAACAAGAAACGGUAGUCGGCAUUUUAGACACGUAUAUUUUACAGACCCAAAAUAUGCCUUAUUUCUUUGUAUUAUAGCUAAUUAUGGUAUAAAUAAUUAAUUAAUUACUUUGCAAUUUUGCUUCUAAUACUAUUAUAGUUGUAUUUUAAUGAAACAUAAUAGUAUUAAAACGGUUUUCUUCUUUUGAAAAAAUUUAUUGCUAGUCCUGUUUCUAAUCGACUUUACUUGUGUAUUUUAAGCUUUUUUGUUGCUGUGCUUUUUCUGGAGAUUUUAGUUGGAUUGGAAAGCUCCUGUGUAAGGUACCCUUUCCUAAAGAAAAAUUGAAGUAAUUUGUACAAUUAUAACGCGCCGAGCUGUGUUUUAUUUUAUUGUUUCUAAGAAAAUGUAAGAAUACAAUAUUAUCAAUUUUAAUUGGUUUUAUCCAAAUCAAGAUUGUGUACAAUGGGAGUGAGUGAUGUAAUCUUCUAAUGCGUGUGGUGAAAAGAAGGCGAAUCCGUUAUUGUUUUUCUGCCCAAAUUUGAAGCUAUUUAAUAAAUCUUGAUAAAGUUAAAAAACUGUUUUGA